rfam:Reichenbachiella agariperforans strain DSM 26134 genome assembly, contig: Ga0070003_101
GCGCACGUGGUGAAAUUGGUAGACACGCCAUCUUGAGGGGGUGGUGGACUUACGUCCGUGGAAGUUCGAAUCUUCUCGUGCGCA